rnacentral:rRNA from 1 species
AAACUGGAGAUGGCGACCGGCGCACGGGUGAGUAACACGUAUCCAACCUGCCGAUAACUCGGGGAUAGCCUUUCGAAAGAAAGAUUAAUACCCGAUGGCAUAAUAGAACCGCAUGGUUUGAUUAUUAAAGAAUUUCGGUUAUCGAUGGGGAUGCGUUCCAUUAGGCAGUUGGUGGGGUAACGGCCCACCAAACCUUCGAUGGAUAGGGGUUCUGAGAGGAAGGUCCCCCACAUUGGAACUGAGACACGGUCCAAACUCCUACGGGAGCAGCAUG